rnacentral:rRNA from 1 species
CAAUAAGCGGAGGAAAAGAAACCAACAGGGAUUGCCUUAGUAACGGCGAGUGAAGCGGCAACAGCUCAAAUUUGAAAUCUGGCCCUCGGGUCCGAAUUGUAAUUUGUAGAGGAUGAUUUUGGUGCGGUAUCUUCCGAGUUCCUUGGAACAGGACGCCUUAGAGGGUGAGAGCCCCGUACGGUUGAAUGCCUAGCCUCUGUAAAUCUCCUUCGACGAGUCGAGUAGUUUGGGAAUGCUGCUCUAAAUGGGAGGUAAAUUUCUUCUAAAGCUAAAUAUUGGCCAGAGACCGAUAGCGCACAAGUAGAGUGAUCGAAAGAUGAAAAGCACUUUGAAAAGAGGGUUAAAUAGCACGUGAAAUUGUUGAAAGGGAAGGAUUUGUGACCAGACUUUUUCUGGGCGGAUCAUCCGGGGUUCUCUCCGGUGCACUUUGCCCAGUAAAGGCCAGCAUCGAUUUUCGGCGGCGGAUAAAAGCAGUGGGAAUGUGGCUCCCUACGGGGAGUGUUAUAGCCCAUUGUAUAAUACGCUGCUGGGGAUCGAGGUACGCGCUUCUGCAAGGAUGCUGGCGUAAUGGUUAUCAAUCACCCGUCUUGAAACACGGACCAAGGAGUCGAACAUUUAUGCGAGUGUUUGGGUGUUAAACCCUCACGCGUAAUGAAAGUGAACGGAGGUGAGAGCCCGUACGGGUGCAUCAUCGACCGAUCCUGAAGUUUUCGGAUGGAUUUGAGUAAGAGCAUAACUGUUCGGACCCGAAAGAUGGUGAACUAUGCGUGGAUAGGGUGAAGCCAGAGGAAACUCUGGUGGAGGCUCGCAGCGGUUCUGACGUGCAAAUCGAUCGUCAAAUCUGCGCAUGGGGCGAAAGACUAAUCGAACCAUCUAGUAGCUGGUUACCGC